rnacentral:rRNA from 1 species
UGGGGAAUUUUGGACAAUGGGCGAAAGCCUGAUCCAGCAAUGCCGCGUGUGUGAAGAAGGCCUUCGGGUUGUAAAGCACUUUUGCCCGGAAAGAAAUCCUUGGCUCUAAUACAGUCGGGGGAUGACGGUACCGGAAGAAUAAGCACCGGCUAACUACGUGCCAGCAGCCGCGGUAAUACGUAGGGUGCAAGCGUUAAUCGGAAUUACUGGGCGUAAAGCGUGCGCAGGCGGUUUGCUAAGACCGAUGUGAAAUCCCCGGGCUCAACCUGGGAACUGCAUUGGUGACUGGCAGGCUAGAGUAUGGCAGAGGGGGGUAGAAUUCCACGUGUAGCAGUGAAAUGCGUAGAGAUGUGGAGGAAUACCGAUGGCGAAGGCAGCCCCCUGGGCCAAUACUGACGCUCAUGCACGAAAGCGUGGGGGAGCAAACAGGAUUAGAUACCCCUGGUAGUCCACGCCCUAAAACGAUGUCAACUAGUUGUUGGGGAUUCAUUUCCUUAGUAACGUAGCUAACGCGUGAAGUUGACCGCCUGGGGAGUACGGUCGCAAGAUUAAAACUUAAAUGAAUUGACGGGGUCAUAGCUGUUUCCU